AGAAAAGAUAGAGGUUGCGGUUGCCAUGAGUAGCGCGUCCAAGUUGAUUACACUCAACGGUGCGGGCGCAUGAAAGGGAAGACCGCCGAAAUCAACUGGGCAAGUGUAAGCCUGGUUGGUUGGGCCACCGGUGAAUAACCGCUGGACUGUCGCAGUUAACGGCUGCGGAGCGCUAUCGUAAAU
rnacentral:ncRNA from 2 species